UACGUAGGCAGCGAGCGUUGUUCGGAAUUAUUGGGCGUAAAGAGCUCGUAGGCGGUGUGUCGCGUCGGCCGUGAAAACCUGGGGCUCAACUCUGGGCGUGCGGUCGAUACGGGCAUCACUUGAGUUCGGCAGGGGAGACUGGAAUUCCUGGUGUAGCGGUGAAAUGCGCAGAUAUCAGGAGGAACACCGGUGGCGAAGGCGGGUCUCUGGGCCGAUACUGACGCUGAGGAGCGAAAGCAUGGGUAGCGAACAGG
rnacentral:rRNA from 1 species